GAGAAGUCACACCAAUUAUAUUUGCAAGAUAAUGCAAUCAGGUACAAAACCUCCACGAAUUUGUCCAGUCAACAGGAGAAACCCUCCCCCAGUCCGUCCUCUAGUGGAACCGAAAUCCCCAAUUUGCUGGUGAAUCCCCGUGAGUCGUCACCGUCACCUUCGGCUCCUUCAAGUUUCCUUGGAGGAUGUACCGGAGUGGCAGCAAGCUGUCGAUGCUUUAGGCGGUGAGAGCCCACGAAGGCUAUAAGGACUCAUCUAUGAGCGUGCACUUCAGCAAGAGUGAUCCCUGUCUAGAGUGGUCGCGAACAUCUUUUUACAGAAUUUUCCCACCUGCUACAAACAUCCCAUCCUGUAUAAACAAACAAUUCUCCUUCACCUCUUUAAUUUUCAGCGAAAUUCAGGUCCAUGCGUUUAUUUUUUGUCACAAAAGGAACGUAAUUCUUCAUCUCCAUCCCAACCCAUCUUUGACUUGAAAUGGUCGAGAAUUUCAAUUUUUGCUUCUGUGGGUUCAUAUUGAUCUUGUUUAUAAGCACAGAAGACGUAAUUUCUCGCUUCGUGAUUGAUUCAAAAGAAAAAAUUUGUAAUGUUCCUGGUCCAAAUGAAGCAGUGUCUUUUACCCAGGAGUUGUGAGUCGUUUGGCCGGUUGAGCAUAUGCAGUCCCAUGCCGUAAUUUCGAUGGCGCGAGUUUAGUUUAGUGGCAAUUUGGUGUAGUAAGUACUUGGAUGUGAGCUUGGUUCUUUUGGUAUUAAGGGGUUCUGCCAAAGUUUCUUAGGAUCUGUAUGGUCAAAUGGCAUAAUGCAGCUGGUCAAUACAGGGUUCGAGCAGAGUAUAACGUGCAUGGGUGUGUGGCGAGGGGAAAAACUGCUCAUUGCUCGUCUCGAGUUACCUAGUCUUGUUACUGAGUUUUGCAAUGACGAAAACCCUGCAGAUGAGGGGGAAGAACAGAAAGGGACAGAGAAGUGUGACUUAUGUAUUAAAAAAUAAGUCCUGCCUUGCAUUCCACCCGUGGAAGUCAUGUGAGAAAUGGUCUAUUUGGAAUUCUGCAUGGUAAAUUGAGAUCCUUUCAGGCUUUAUCUAAUUAGAACAACUGUUUGAUCAUUUGUCUAAUCAGGAUAUCACUAAUUUCAGCAUUUCCCUGUACCUUCUAACAUGAGAUUGAGGUUGGUAGGGCUGCCUUGACAGUGGCAAAAACUUGUACCCGACCAUCGAGAGAGAUCUUAUUCUUUAAUGUUUGUAAGGCGGAGUAGAUGAAUUGAGUCUAUGGUAUUCCAGUGUGUGACUAUCUCACUCAAGUGUACUUUCUUCUCUGGUGUCAAAGCAGCUUGGUGGUUUCUACAUCUGGACUAACACUUAUCAACUGAUUCGAACAUCGCCCAUGAAUAUAAGUGCUUCAAGCAGCCAGUGAGGCCUCAGAGGCACCUAUCUUUGACCUAAAUGUCGGUUCAGAAACAUGUCUUCUUGAAGAAAAAGAUGGAUGACAACAAGCUGUUGUUAGCAUGCAAUGGACAAAGGCUCGUGAAGAUGCAGAAAUGCAAGCUAUAAGACCAUUACAUCACUCUGGAAUAAAGUUAGAGAGCCUCUUCACCAAGUUUUGGAGGAUCUAAUGUCGCCUCCUAGGCUUGCUACAAUAAUUGGAUUCAUUGUCACGGCAAUCACAUUCUAGAAGAACCUCUUAAUUGGUGAGAAUGCGCCCCAUCAUGUAAUGCAGGACACUAUUCGACAACCAGGGCCAGGGACGAUUCCUUGUAUCAUACUUAUCUUAGGAGACAACCUCACUCAAGGCAAGACUUUCUUGACCCUCCAUUUUCUCUCAAACAGAAAUUUUGGCGUUCAUUUAUCAAUUGUUGUGUGUGAACAGGUGCCUGCUCUUCAAGAAUCAGACCAUGGGCUAUUGCCGGGGUGAUUUGUGUCCAUUAUGCGAUGCUUCAGGUGACUGACAUCGGAGUCGUGAAGGCAAGCUUGGCUUUCUGGCAUUGAGCCCAUUGUAUCAGUACGUCCUGAUGGUUCAGUUCACACUCCCCCACUCAUGGAUAUUGGUUAGUAUAGCUGUCUCCAAAGAGAAAUGAAAAGGAAAAAAAGAAUAAAAGGCAGUCAAAUAAAAAGGUCAUCUUUAAGUCAACUUUAUCAGUUUUAUGCUGAGAGGGCAUUUGAUUUGGUAUGUGAAGCUAUGCAGAUCUCUCAUACCUUUGUCCAAUUUUUCUGAAGUUGAAACAAGUCUCGGCUAGUCACUCCCACUGGUACAUAUUUGAUCGAGAAACACAGACUGAAUCUUGAUUGUGAAACAAGUAUUAACAAUGAAUCUAUAUCUGGAAACAUACAGAUGGAGAACUCAACAUAGGAGUGCAAGUGUAAUUCAGCCAAAGUAGGGCUACUUCACUAAGGAUUUUCAUGCUACUGAUUCUCAAGAAAGCAGCUGAGAGUUUUGUGAAAUAUACAGGAACAAUAAUGACCCAGCUCUUUGAUGUGGGUCAGGAGGAUUGUUCAGCGCUCUUCCACUGGGCAUACUUGUUCGCAGCCAUAGCUCACUUUCUGGUCAAGUGUGUACAUGUGGAUCUUGUCCUGAUAUUAUUUUUUCAGGCUAAUAAAGUCAGACUUUGACUCAGUCAAA